rnacentral:rRNA from 1 species
GAUGAACGCUGGCGGCGUGCUUAACACAUGCAAGUCGAACGGUGAAGCAGGAGCUUGCUCUUGUGGAUCAGUGGCGAACGGGUGAGUAACACGUGAGCAACCUGCCCCUGACUCUGGGAUAAGCGCUGGAAACGGCGUCUAAUACUGGAUAUGUGAUGUGACCGCAUGGUCUGCAUCUGGAAAGAAUUUCGGUUGGGGAUGGGCUCGCGGCCUAUCAGCUUGUUGGUGAGGUAAUGGCUCACCAAGGCGUCGACGGGUAGCCGGCCUGAGAGGGUGACCGGCCACACUGGGACUGAGACACGGCCCAGACUCCUACGGGAGGCAGCAGUGGGGAAUAUUGCACAAUGGGCGGAAGCCUGAUGCAGCAACGCCGCGUGAGGGAUGACGGCCUUCGGGUCGUAAACUCCUUUUAUAGUAAUAGAGAUGUUAUUAAGAAUAAGCACCUGCUAACUCUGUGCCAGCCGCCGCAGUAA